UACAGAGGGGGCAAGCGUUAUUCGGAAUUAUUGGGCGUAAAGGGCGCGUAGGCGGCUUGGCAAGUGGAAGGUGAAAUCCCUCGGCUUAACCGAGGAACUGCCCUCCAAACUGCUUCGCUUGAGACCGGGAGAGGUGAGUGGAAUUCCCAGUGUAGCGGUGAAAUGCGUAGAUAUUGGGAGGAACACCAAAAGCGAAGGCAGCUAGCUGGAACAUUCCUGACCCUCAGGGACGAAAGCGUGGGGAGCGAAAAGG
rnacentral:rRNA from 1 species